rnacentral:rRNA from 1 species
AUGGGCGGCUUCAGCAUGGAGCAGCCGCAGCAAUGGGCGGCAGCGAGUGGGGACAACAGCCGCGGGCAUGCGUUGUGCGCGGCCGGAGCUAACGCACGCAGGGGCAAGGCGACCAGGGGACGCACGGGAGCACGCACGGGGGCGAGGCCAAGCGCACACGGGCGGGCGCGGAGGCGCGCGAGCACGACUAGGGGCACGGGCGGGCCAACUCCGGCCAUGGCGAUUGGUCCUCGUGGGGCGAUACAUACAGUGACAAAUCGAAGGGGAAAAGCAGGGGAAUUGGGAGAGGAGCUCACUGCGAGCUCAAUGGCGAGGUCGGGGAGGCCGGGGACGCAGUGA